rnacentral:siRNA from 1 species
UCAUAACGAUCUCGACUUCAGGCC